rnacentral:rRNA from 1 species
AUUGAACGCUGGCGGCAGGCCUAACACAUGCAAGUCGAGCGGCAGCGGGAAAGUAGCUUGCUACUUUUGCCGGCGAGCGGCGGACGGGUGAGUAAUGCCUGGGGAUCUGCCCAGUCGAGGGGGAUAACUACUGGAAACGGUAGCUAAUACCGCAUACGCCCUACGGGGGAAAGCAGGGGACCUUCGGGCCUUGCGCGAUUGGAUGAACCCAGGUGGGAUUAGCUAGUUGGUGAGGUAAUGGCUCACCAAGGCGACGAUCCCUAGCUGGUCUGGGCGGAUGAGCAGCCACACUGGAACUGAGACACGGUCCAGACUCCGACGGGAGGCAGCAGUGGGGAAUAUUGCACAAUGGGGGAAACCCUGAUGCAGCCAUGCCGCGUGUGUGAAGAAGGCCUUCGGGUUGUAAAGCACUUUCAGCGAGGAGGAAAGGUUGGUAGCUAAUAACUGCCAGCUGUGACGUUACUCGCAGAAGAAGCACCGGCUAACUCCGUGCCAGCCGCCGCCGUAACAC